CCUUUACAGAGCCCUCAGUCUACUGUCCCUCCCCCAGAUGAAGCGGGGAUCCAGGCCCGCCGCUUGGCCUCACUGGCCAGCUGACAACCUCUGACAGGGCCCAAGUGAGGGAUGAGAGAUGUACUCCACCCUUCAGUUGGGUUGUUUCAUGCAAAAUCAAAUUAUCUGGGGCUGAUCAAACUCAUUGGAAAGGCAGCACAUUCCCUCCCAAGCUGGAGGUUACACCAGUCAUUGAAAAAGGUAUUUGGGUGCUCCGGGACAAUUAGCAACCUUCCAGCACCCCACGUACAUGAUGGGGGAUGAGGGGCAAGCAUCUGCCUUGUACACAAGGCAUUGAAGGGCACUCCCACCUUGCAGAGCUGAACUGCUCUGCCUCCUUAAUUCAGCCUUGGUACCUGUUGCUAGCUAGGAGGGAGGGAUUCCUCCAGAGGGACUACGAAGAGCAGCAGUUUCUUACUCAGGCCCUUCAGACAGGUAGGCAUAUGAACCUUCACCUCCCCCAUGCCUUCCAACUUUACACAUUAUAAAGAAAGGUUUGUUUAUUGAUGCUCUCUCAAGAGGAACUCUUGCAGCAUCUUACAAAGGGGCCCUGUUCCUACCAGAGAGGAGGAGGGACAUUCAGGUAUCCUGGCAAAACAACCCCCUUCUUUUUCUAUGAGAAAGCAUGAUCCACAGGCAGGAGCAUCACGCUCAGAGAGCCACUUGCACAAGGACCCUUGAAAUGCCAGGCAGCUGUGCAAGCACAGAAACAAGUGCAAUACAAGGGCAGCAUCUUACGGCAGCCUCAUGUCCUACAUGCAUCCUACAGGGCUGGAAAGGGAGGAUGUUUUCGCAGGUGAAGUAGAACAGAAGAUCCUUUGCUAGGAAGUGCAAAGAUGAAGCCUAUCCAGGUAAGGCAGGAUAGCACUUCACAGCAAAGCAAAAUCCACCAUGGGCAGGAAGAUGUGAUGAAAAGGGAGUUUCUUAGCAAAAAGGGGCAACUGAAAAGGCCUUGCAGGGGUAAGCAGAUCACCUGUAAAGAAAGGGACCGACCUGUUGAAAGAUGCCAGUAACAGAGCGCAGUAUUUUCAGGGGGAAUAUAGCAUCUCAAAAUGCCAGGCUCAGAAACUAGAAUUACAGCUUACCCAGGUGGAGAAUGACACUAUCUGAAACGGUCUGGUACCACGCAGUCAAUAUUUGAGCCUUUGUCCAUUCUCAGCACUAGCCUCUUCAGGAUGGGAAUAGCCAAACACAACAGUUGUAAACUACGUACUGACCUCCCUCGGGAAGGCCUUUAUAUAGCGGAUAGGCUAUACUUAGACAUGCUAUCACAUCACUUUUGUGAGAGCCAGCUUUUAGGCACUUACAUCACACACAAGUCAAAAGUUUACAGUUUAAAUGCAGUACUAGAUGUAGAGGCAUCAGGGUCCCAUGUCUUGUGUCAAAGAAAUUUGACUAAUCCACGAUGCUAGGAGGCUCCAGAGAAGUGUGUCCUUAAUUCCAUUAAAGAAGCACCUGAAAAUCCUGACCUCUACGAAUCCGGUCUUACAUGGGAAUGAUCCAGUCAACCAGGAGACCACCUACAUUCAUAUAAGAACACAGUCUGAGGUACUGCAUUAAUAUCUAUCCCUCCUUACUCUGUACACCUUCAACAUUUCUAGCUAGAUGUAUAUGAUCUUUUUUGAUGGUGCACAUGUAGCUUCUGCCGAGUCAAGCAGAAGUCUUCUUUCCUAAUCUUCUAAUCCAAAAUAAGCUCCAGGAUCAUCAGAGUUUGAGGAACUCAACACAGCAUUAUAAGGCAGCCAGUCAAGUGUUUCUCUGUAUGAGACAGUGGAAAGGAUUCUGAUACCCCAAUGAACCUGCAGAGGUCUGCACAGAGAUUUAUGAGGAUUGGUCAAAAAGCCAGGGUUAACAAUUCUAGCCAGAAAAAAAAGGCUGCCUUCUCUUCAGUGACUGUCUAUGGAUGGGGCCUUUAAAAGCUUUUCUGCAGCUGGGAACCUUUCCUCCCCAGCAGCUCAGUAAGACACCAGUUUACUGGAUCAACUCUAACUAACAGUGGUGGCCUUUGCAGCUUUAGGGCUUACUUCCCCCCUCCAAAGCAAAACAAAGCUCCCAUGCCAGCUCAGAGUUUUCUCUUCAAAUCUUCAGAGGGCCUCAUAGCCAAAUGACCAAUAAGUGAACUUUGCACUGCUAGAGACACCCAAUCAUGGAAGCCAAAUGACCCAGGAAAUCACUACUGAAUACUCUAAAUGCUGCCGAUAUCUUGAUUGCAGCUAUUUUUCCUUCAUAAAAAUAUGGCCCUUAGCUGUUCCCUGUAUGGCUGCAAGAUUUUAGAGCUGAGCAAGUGCAGAACGAUUCUACAGGAAGCUAUCCCAGUUUAAAUCCCACUCAUGCAGAACAAGAAGAGUUCUUAGGCCAUUCUGCAACUGCAGAACUACAUAAUUUCCCUCAUGCACAGUUCUCCCUGUUGGCAUCACAGACUUGUACUGGUCACCCACAGGGGUACAUCUCAUGGAGCAAAACUCACUGUGUAAAUCAACAGGAAACAAGGAAAUUCAGACCUUGGAAAGUUGUAAGUAUAUCCUUCACUACACAUCCACUGCAAAAGAAAUUCAGGCUAUGCCAGCGAAAGCAAAGAACAACAGUAAUCCUCCAUUUAAAUAGUGACUUUCACUUGGGAAAUUCCCCAAAUUCUUUAUAAAUAUAUACUCUGGAAAGAAACACUGUGGCUGUUACCAGCAGAUACCAACCCUUCUCAUGAGGUUGGGGGGGUAGGAGAAGCUGAGACAGUAUGCCACUGUCCAAACUAGAACAUGGCCAGGGUGUUCCAGGCUAUUACCCUUGUUGUAAGAGGUGGCAGUGUCUCCCCGGAGAGCCUAAGUAGCCAAGGAUAAGACUCACACCUCAUUUAAGAGGUAGCUCUAUUAUCAGCACAGUAAAACCUACCAUGGUCAGCUUAAUUUUGGAGCACAGAGGACAGCACUGCUGACUUUCCGACAGUAACUGCUACAGUACUCUGAGAGUCUUAGAAAAGCUCCAAUCCUAUCCAACAUUGCUUAAUUUGGAAGAUCACAAAAGUUCACAGCUUAAAAUAGUGCAUUUCCUCUGUCAAGCCUUUUAGCUUAAGGAGAGCCUGAACACAUCCUGAUGGUCAUGUCUGAAGUGUGAAUGAAUGUGUGAGCUUCUGGCCAGAAAUGAAAAUGCAGGUUUUUACUCAGAGGGUUUUCUGGUAGACCUAGUGACUCUCCUCUCUACGCUGUUGAGAAAGCUUUCCCCUGCUUUGAGAAGGGGGAAGAAUGGUUUGCCACGGCCAAGAGAAGCUUGUGUUUUGUCAACGACCCUCUCUCUAAUUCAUCACAUCCAAGGAAGUUUGUGUUGAUGCUUUCAAGAGGAAACUUUCCAACCUAAGUAACUAUUGACUGAGAAAAGCUAGAUAUGAGGCGUAAGGAAGAGAAGAGAGGGCUGCGAAGUAGGGCUUACUGCCAGUUUUCUUGCUUUGGUGCACAAAGCUUCUGUUCUGAGUGAAUGAAGCAGGAGAGGCUCUCCCUUAGAGUCUUCAAUGGUCCCUUAAAGCCUACCUAUUAAUUGUGAAAAACACAAUCUUGCAGCACCUCAUGCAAACAACCCAGAAAUCACAGGGAAAGAAAAAAAGAGAACGGAGGAGGUUGAGGUGCUGAAAACCUGCCUCGCUAUUUCUACCUUGCUCUGACGCCAAGCGUAACUUUCCGCUCAGAGCCCACUGGGCAUUGCCAAAGUCUACAGGCCCUUCAGACGCCACAAACACUCCCUCCUUCAACAGUUCCAGGAGAGAAAAGGCAACAGGCACUGGGAGGAGUUCCAGCCCUGGAAAGGAUUAUAUCUAGAAAAUAUCUUCAUUUAGAAAGGAGAGGUAUGGUUCACAAACAACGAGGGUUGCCAGACUUCACUUUAUUUAGAGAUGUUGCUGCAAAGAACAAUCCUGCAUGGUUUUGGUACAUAGCCCUCCUCAGAUAAGAGGCUCCGUCUCCCAAGAAUGCACCAGUCUGAUAUCUCUAUUACUGUCUCAUGGCGUCCAGCCCCCAGGGCUUCCCCUUCCCCUUCCCCUUCCCUUCUCACCUGCUCUCUCCACGUUUACAUCAGUAAAAGUCUUGAGCAGAGGAAUCGAAGUUUUUAACCUGGGAAAAUAUCUCCCCUUCCCUAAUUCCAUGUUGCUCAACCAUAAACCUUUGUGCUUGUGCUUUAGUUUGCAGAUAACGCAUUUGCCGGUGUGACUGUACUGAAGACCGCUCACCUCGAGAACAACCGGCUCACUCAGCUGCCCCACAACUUCCCCUUCGACAAAAUGGAGACUCUGACGCUCUCCAAAAACGCCUGGCACUGCAACUGCCAGCUAGCACAUCUGCGCAAGUGGCUGAAAGGCAACCGCACCCGCGCAGACGAGACCUGCUCCACACCAGCGCAGUACCGGGGGCAGUCGAUCAGAGACACCCCCGCACUCCGCACCUGCAAGCUCCCCACCAAGAGGUCCAAGAAGGGAAGCCGCCAUUGAACACCAGGCCCCGGUAUGGCCUGUCCUGGUGACUGGUCAAUUCAACCAUCAGAAAACUACUGACUUCUUCCAAGUCCUUCCUUAAGCUUCUCCUACCUGUCAGGAUACAUUUCUGAUAUAUCCAAACACCUCCAGCCUCCUCCGAAUCCCCGCUUCUCUGCUGAUUGCAGGAUGGAAUCCACCUUUUCAAUCUUUUUCGACAUCUAUAUAUUUUAAAAGAGGCAUUUUUAAAAACUAAACUAUGCAUGACCAUACUAAGACAAGCUAACCUAGACAAUGCCGGUAAAACACAGUCAUCUUUCCCAGAGGCAACCUAACCCGCGUCCCCGAUCAACCAAUUUGUCUCUGUCUCUCCCCUUCCAAUGGAGUGGAAGCAAGUAGGAAAGUAGGAGCAUUCCCGCCCCAGCUCAACGCCAGCUGCUUGAUCAGGAAAACCAGUCUCAACCCAUGCAAAGAGACUCCUCUGCCUACCCACGGAGGGGAUCCCUGCAGGUCAGGGCUGAGGAUGAUAGGUGAAGCAGUGUCCAAGAAACAGUGGCCCUGAGAGAGAGCUGCCCUUUCGUUCCAAGAGGGAGCAAUCUCUCUAGGUCAGCCAGAAAUCGUUAAGUGAAGCAGUACUGGGAAACCCUGAAACUGAAGCAAUCUGAAGACUGGAUUCCCUUCCCACUCUAUGGGGGUCUACCAAGAUGCAUAGAUGUCCAAGAGGAGAAGGUGUGCACCAUGUGGCCUUGCUUGGGCACCCCUCCUCCUCUCUCUACCCAUACUCCAGAGGAUCUAGCAGGACACACCAGGAUGACUGUGGUUUAUUGUCAUGGCUAUUACAAUACCACAGUUGCAAUUUAACUGCGUUUUUUAUCCUAAAGAGUUAUAUAAAUAUAUAUAUAUAUAUAUUUAUUCCUCUGUAACUGCGUGUAAAUGACCUUUAAGAGGAUGAAAACUCCUCUGUCUCCUAUAUAGAAAUCAAAUUGUAUAUUUUCUUAUGUACAUCUUCUGUAUAAAGCUCUUGCUGCAAAGAUGAA